GGCCUGUAUUGUAUCAAGUGACCGUAAACGCAUCAAUUGUCAUCAGAUCCAUUGUUCAGAUUUUUUUUUUUUUUUUUUUUUUUUUUUUUUUUUGCAGAAACUCCCCCUUUUCCCCCUAGAAAAAGCCAGAGUCUCAUCACACUGAAGUAACCUAAUUCCUGUGUGACCCGCCUCGGUUCACCUUUUCGCUAAACCAGUUUGACGCGUCGCUGUAGUAAAGGGAAGUGAAGGACUCUAACUUUGUAAAUCCUGUUUCUGUUGUCGCAUUGCAACUGAAACAGUUUUAGUAGGCUUUGUUUCUCUGAUUCAGCACUGAGCCUUUUUCAUCAUGAACAUGUUCAGGAGAGAUAAAGGCUCAGCAGCACCAACCCCAGUGGUCCCACCUAGACCCAGCACGGAGGAGUUGGACAACCCCGUCAGACACAGCCUGAACAAAGCGGAUGCAGCAAUUAGACCUGUGCCACAGGACAAUAACAAUGAGGUCACCAGCGAGUCUCUCCCCAAAGCCAAGAGGACUGGGGUGAUGGGUGUCGUGCAGAAGGUCAACCCGUUCAAGUCUACCUCCCAGGCACCCUCCACUGUCAACAAAGCUCCUUCUGAGUCACUGCAACAGGCUGCUGCCCCAGACUCCACACAGAACCCUGGUAUGCUGAAAGGGGUCAUGCAGAAGGUCAACCCGUUCAAGUCCGCCUCACAGGUCUCAUCUGCAGACAGUCGAGCUGCUUCCUCGGAGUCACUGGAACAGGGAAGUGUUGCUGACUCUGCGCAGGUUCAGAACCCUGGGAUGUUGAAAGGCGUCAUACAGAAAGUAAACCCCUUCAAGUCAAGUUCUGCACAGGUGUCAAAGGAGGAUCCUCAAAAUGACUCUGCAGACCCACAAGAGGCUGGGAAACUUGAAGGCAAACAGAACCCAGGGAUGUUCGUAGGGAUGAUGCAGAAAGUCAACCCCUUCAAAUCCUCCUCACAGCCACAGGACACUCGGUCCAUACACAGCGAUCUCUCCUCCAGUGGCGGAAGCUUGGCAGACAAUAACAAUGUGCCGGAGAAGCAGAACCCAGGGAUGUUCAAAGGGAUGAUGCAGAAAGUAAAUCCGUUCAAGUCUUCCACACAGAUGCCAAAGGAGGAUUGUCAGACAGACUCUGCUGAUCUCCAAACAGGCUCCUCGGUCAAGAUGCAGGACACCCAGUCGCUUCACAGUGACCACUCCUCCAGCUCUGGCAGCUUGGAUGACAGCACCAUAGACAGACAUACGAUUUGGUACGCCGACACUGAAGCCAGCUGUGAAGUGAAAAGCCAGCCACCUGUGGCAGAGAAGAAGAGAUUUGGGACUUUCAGAAUAAGGAGGAUUCUCCCCGGUGCAUUGUUCAGCUCUGGAACCAAGGACUCCACCAAAGCAUCAUCUGACUCUCAGCCCUCGCCUCAGGAGGAGGCAGUAGAAGUCCAAGUGCUAGAGAUGGCUGAAGUACCGGUGCCCAGUGAAGGAGCAGCUCUGGACCCUCUAGAAGUAUGCUCACCUUAUGAUCUAUAAUCAUAUGUGUGUCAGAUGGGUUUCCCUGUGUAUUUUGUAAGAGAUUUCCUCGCACAUACAAAAGCUGUCAG
rnacentral:lncRNA from 1 species